rnacentral:misc_RNA from 1 species
AUGGCACCAUCUACACUUAACCAACAUAGGUCGGUUGCAGCCCUACAUCACGUCCCUACAAAGUUUCCUUUCGUGUUAUUUGAUGACGUUGAGAGCGAUGACUUACCAAAAUUUAAGAGUAUCGUAGCCAGAAUCGUUGUUAAGUUCCCUAGACGUCAUGACAGCCAACAUUUUAUUCUACAAGACAUCACUGGGUCAAAAAUAGAAGCAAUUUCAUACCGCGCUAAUGUCCAAAGAUUUGACACCUUACUCCAACAAGGAUCUACAUAUACAUUAUAUGGAGUGGCGUUCUAUGUAAGCUGGGGGCCGUAUCUAUUUCGGAAUUUUGGACAUAGGCUAGAAUUGACCUUGGCAUCUCGGACUGUUGUGGAACCAUUCCACUUGCCAAUUCAGUUCCCGCCUUAUCCAAAACAUCUUAUGCCAUUUCAUGAGGUCCUCCAACAACCUCAUAAGAGGUUUAUAGAUGUAAUAGGAAUUGUCAUUCAUUUGGCGCCGUUAGAGCACAUCGGUGGAAGGCCGUACAGAGAGGCCAUACUAAUGGAUUCCAGGUGGGAUAUAAUCGUCGUGGGUAUAUGGCCUGAACUGUUGCAAAGAAAUGCUCUACGGUGGGUGUUAGCUAGAGAAAACAAGAGCAUAAUUAUCGGAACUAUGCUGCGUCGUAACAAGCUACACAGAUGCUUGCAAACCUCGGACCAUAGCACUGUUGAAUUCGAUCCAGAUCAUCACACCACACAACGGUUGCAGACAAUUCGGCGCUCCAUGAUCCAAAAUCCGAGGAGUGCUUUAAUCAACAAUUAUCUAGAGAGGA